GGUGGUUCUUGGGUGACACACCCCGGAAUCGGGUUCCCUCCUCUCUGGUUCUGGGUGCGUCACUAAAGAACCGCA
rfam:Myotis brandtii contig300489, whole genome shotgun sequence.